UACGUAGGGUGCAAGCGUUGUCCGGAAUUAUUGGGCGUAAAGAGCUCGUAGGCGGCUUGUCGCGUCGACUGUGAAAUCCCGCGGCUCAACUGCGGGUCUGCAGUCGAUACGGGCAGGCUAGAGUUCGGUAGGGGAGACUGGAAUUCCUGGUGUAGCGGUGGAAUGCGCAGAUAUCAGGAGGAACACCGGUGGCGAAGGCGGGUCUCUGGGCAGUAACUGACGCUGAGGAGCGAAAGCGUGGGGAGCGAACAGG
rnacentral:rRNA from 1 species